rnacentral:rRNA from 1 species
GAGUUGACUCCUACGGGAGUCAGCAGUGGGGAAUAUUGCACAAUGGGGGGAACCCUGAUGCAGCCAUGCCGCGUGAAUGAAGAAGGCCUUCGGGUUGUAAAGUUCUUUCGGUGACGAGGAAGGUUGAUAGGUUAAUAGCCUAUCAAAUUGACGUUAAUCACAGAAGAAGCACCGGCUAACUCCGUGCCAGCAGCCGCGGUAAUACGGGGGGUGCGAGCGUUAAUCGGAAUAACUGGGCGUAAAGGGCACGCAGGCGGUGACUUAAGUGAGAUGUGAAAGCCCCGAGCUUAACUUGGGAAUUGCAUUUCCUACUGGGUCCGUAGAGUACGUUAGGGAGGGGUAGAAUUCCACGUGUAGCGGUGAAAUGCGUAGAGAUGUGGAGGAAUACCGAAGGCGAAGGCAGCCCCUUGGGAAUGUACUGACGCUCAUGUGCGAAAGCGUGGGGAGCAAACAGGAUUAGAUACCCUAGUAGUCCUGAGU